CAUUGCAGAACUGGAACAGCAGCUGAAGCAAGCAAUACGUCCGGAAGAAUUAAGAGAUAUCCUUACCCGGACAGAGGAGGCAAUCACAAAACACCGGAGGAUCGUUGAGGAACGAAAAAGAUUAAAAUUUCAGAGAGACGCGGAAGAUUAUAGAACCGGCAGCAUCUACCAGUGGAACCUCACCGGAACGAGUGCUGGAACGCAACGCAGCGCACGCAGGGACAUCCCACGUGACUGGCAGGGGGAAACACAGCAACGCUGGGCACCGGCGAGGAGAGAACCUCAGUGGCGCACAUUGGAUUCCCGUGAGGGGGAGAGCACGUCAGACAGCUCGGCGUCGUCUUCUUUUUUAGGAUACAGCCCCCCAGACGCUGGCAACAGACACGGAGGGGCAAAAAGAAGCGCAACAGAUCGCAACAAGACACGCGACUACACCAGGGAGCAGAAUCAACCGAUAGAGAGGCGGCAGCAACCGCCACGAUCAGCAUGGAGGACUCAAUCGAAACGGUACUGAGAUUAGUCUGGGAAGUGGAUGAUUCUGAGUGCUGACAUUACCUGCUGCAAAUACUAAGAAACAAGAAUUCAAUACACCAAUGCAUUGCAAAAGAGGUAAUAUAAGCGUCUCAGAUUUUCCUUAAUUUUUCGUAAUUUGCUUUAAAUUUUGGUAUUUUUUCUUUAAUUUUUUCUUAAUUUUCUGAAACAAUGUUUCUUAAUUUUUUCGUAAUUUUCCUUGAAUUUUUGAUUCUGGACUUUUGAUGAUUUUUUUAUAUGUAGUUAAUACAUUUUCGCAAUUAACCCCAUUGGAUUUAGGGGUUACAAAAGGGAUGUCUACAACUCUCUAAUAGGCUUUUCUUUUAUGGCACUGGACUUUUGAACCACAUAUAUGGACUGAGAAUAAUGGACACUUUAUACCCCUAUGAAUGAUGUAUGAAACUUACAUAUUGGAUGCAGGCUAUGGUGGACACUAUAUGUAUUUUUAUUAUUGAUGGAACAACAGUAAUACUUGUAUUAUGUGUAUCGUGAUGACAAUUAUUUCAAUUGAUGUUCCCACCUGACGCUCCUCCCAGCACACUCCCCCUCCCCUUUCCCCGCCCUCACUUAUCACUAUUUAAUACUGGGUUGUGUAUAUGGUCACAGGCUUGAUAAAGGGCCCUGUGCGGCCCGAAACGUUGCCUUUUUCUACUGUAAUGAGCCAAUAAAACACUUGAAACGCAA